rnacentral:rRNA from 1 species
CCUGAGAGGGCGCCGGGCCACACUGGGACUUCAGGACACCGGCCCAGACUUCUACCGGAGGCAGCAAGUUGGGAAUAUUGCACAUGGGCGAAAGCCUGAAGCAGCGCCGCCGCGUUAGGGAUGACGCCUCGGGUUGUAAACCUCUUUCAGCAGGGAAGAAGCGAAAGUGACGGUACCUGCAGGAAGAAGCGCCGGGCUAACUACGUGCCGCAGCCGCGGUAAUACGUAGGGGCGCAAGCGUUGUCGGAAUUAUUGGGCGUAAAGAGCUCGUAGGCGGCCUGUCACGUCGGGGUGUGAAAAGCCCGGGGCUUAACCCCGGGUCUGCAUUCGAUACGGGCUAGCUAGAGUGUGGUAGGGGAGAUCGGAAUUCCUGGUGUAGCGGUGAAAUGCGCAGAUAUCAGGAGGAACACGGUGGCGAAGGCGGAUCUCUGGGCCAUUACUGACGCUGAGGAGCGAAAGCGUGGGGAGCGAACAGGAUUAGAUACCCUGGUAGUCCACGCCGUAAACGGUGGGAACUAGGUGUUGGCGACAUUCCACGUCGUCGGUGCCGCAGCUAACGCAUUAAGUUCCCCGCCUGGGGAGUACGGCCGCAAGGCUAAAACUCAAAGGAAUUGACGGGGGCCCGCACAAGCAGCGGAGCAUGUGGCUUAAUUCGACGCAACGCGAAGAACCUUACCAAGGCUUGACAUACGCCGGAAAGCAUCAGAGAUGGUGCCCCCCUUGUGGUCGGUGUACAGGUGGUGCAUGGCUGUCGUCAGC